rfam:Asian citrus Psyllid, Diaphorina citri - Florida Strain, whole genome shotgun sequence.
GCCUAGGUAACUUAGUUGGUAGUGCGUCUGCCUUGUAAGCGCUAGGUCGCGGGUUCGAUUCCCACCCGGGGCG